CACAGACGCUCGGCCAGACAAAGCGACUCGCUCUUCUUUCAUUGCGUUUCCAGUUUCAACAACCUCUUAAAUGACAAAAUUACCCAUAUCGUGUUUCCUAAUUUACCAGCUGUGGACUUUCUCCUAUGCCUUCUCUGCUUCACAAUUCCUACGCCACUGACCUCCAGCCCCCCACCAGGUUCAUGGACGCCUCCGAGGCCCCUCGGCCACCCCAAUUCCGUCUUCUCACUCCACGCAUUCCCUCCUGCCUUCUUGGCCCCGAGAGGUUCCUAUCACCGUACGUAUGCCAUCAUAUACCUUUUGGAAAUGUUUUCAGAUUUGCACUUUCUAAUGGGACUUCCACCUCUCUCUUGAACCCUGUAAUGUCUAUGAAGAAAGGCCAUUCAAGCACUUCUUCUGGAGGAUUAUGUGAGGUAGUUUGGACAUUGGAAGCUGAUUUGGCACCUGGUCAGGUUGUUUACAUUACUGGGGAUCCUAUUUCAUUAGGUGGUUGGCAGCCAGACAUGGCUCUUCAGAUGUGUUCUACUAAACAUGCAAAGUUGUGGAAAACUGAAGUCAAGAUACCUUCAGGUAUCAACUUUAAGUAUAAUUAUUUCAUCAAAGAAGAAACAUGGCCUCCAGGUGACAUCAUAUGGAGACCUGGUCCAGAAUUUUCUUUAUCAGUACCUCUGAAUGUCAAACAAGAUAAAAAAGUUAUGGUGAGGGAUUCAUGGUUGAAGUUUAACACUAAAAGAUCUCCACCUCAUGUAUGGGGAUCGUGGAUAGGGGAGAAUUAUUUACCAGUCCAACCUUUAGUUUCUGCUCAAGCCAGAGUGCUUUGACAGAUAAACAAGAGAUCGUGAACCACCUUGAAGUUGAUUUAAAGGAGUCUGAGGUAUUCAUAAAUGAUCUCCAAGUCAAGGAUGAAUUGUUCUUCAAUAAUAAACAUACAAAUGCUGCCAUAAAUGAUGGUCCAAAAUUUAUUUUCUCUGAAAGAGAGCAACCUGUUGAGGAACCCUGGUUACUUGAAUCAUCAAUGAUCUUUCUUGUCUCUAUGGAUAAGAUCGUGCCUAAUAUGUCCAAAAAUAAUGGCACUGUAGAAGAUGGUGCAAUAAAUCUGGAUGUUGACAGUCAGCAUCCCCAAGUCAAAGAUACAUUGUUGCCUGUAGAUGCGAAUAAUCUCAUUUUAAAGGAUGAUUCUGUUUCUACGAUCAUUUUGAUUAAUUCUUCAAUAUGUACCAUGCAACGGAUUGCUGUACUGGAAGAUGGGAAAUUAGUUGAAUUACUUCUGGAACCUGUUAAAACCAAUGUGCAGUGUGAUAGUGUGUAUCUAGGGGUGGUUACCAAAUUUGUUCCCCAUAUGGGUGGUGCAUUUGUGAACAUUGGGCAUUCAAGGCCUUCUCUUAUGGAUAUAAAGCAAAACAGGGAGCCAUUCAUAUUCCCCCCAUUCCGUCAGAGGACAAAGAAAGGGAAAAUCAGUAGUUCUGGGCUUGAAGCCCUUGGAGAGCAUCCGUAUACUGAUGAAAAUGAACAUACAUCACAUGAUGUUGAAGGCAUUGAUGAUGUUACAGAAUUCAUCUCCCAGGAAGAUUUGGUACCAUUUGCACAUGAUGACCAUGAGGAGCAUGAAGUUGAUGAAGAUUUUGAUAUUUCAGAAGUCAAGGAAAAUGUGAAUGGCAGUAUAAUUAAUUAUGGUGAAGUGGAUACUCAUUUUGAGCACUUCUUGGAUGGAAGAGAGCACCACCUGAAAGUUGAAACUAUGAACAGGUUUCUUCCAUUUGGAACAGAAAAAUCUAAUGAUCCUUUAAUGUCUCAUCCACAAGAUAUGAAGGAUUCUGAAAAUUUAUUGGCUAGUGAAAACAAGUGGAUUCAAGUUCGUAAGGGCACCAAAAUUAUUGUACAAGUUGUCAAAGAGGGAUUGGGUACAAAAGGUCCUACUCUGACUGCUUACCCAAAAUUGCGAAGCAGAUUCUGGAUAUUGAUAACUCGAUGCGAUAAAAUUGGAAUCUCAAAAAAAAUAUCUGGUGUUGAGCGUACACGCCUGAAAGUUAUAGCCAAAACUUUGCAGCCACCUGGUUUUGGUCUUACUGUGAGGACUGUUGCUGCUGGUCAUUCUUUAGAGGAAUUGCAAAAAGACCUGGAAGGUUUACUUUCAACUUGGAAAAAUAUAGUGGAACAUGCAAAAUCUGCUGCUCUUGCUGCAGAUGAAGGUGUAGAAGGGGCCAUUCCUGUUAUACUGCACAGGGCAAUGGGUCAAACACUCUCAGUUGUUCAGGAUUAUUUUAGUGAGAAGGUUCAGAAAAUGGUGGUUGACUCUCCUAGGACAUAUCAUGAGGUUACAAACUACCUUCAGGACAUUGCUCCUGAUCUUUGUGAUCGAGUUGAAUUGUAUGAUAAAAGAAUUCCUCUUUUUGAUGAAUUCAAAAUUGAAGAAGAGAUCAAUAAUAUCCUUAGCAAAAGGGUUCCAAUCCCUAAGGGAGGUUCUUUGGUGAUUGAACAAACAGAGGCAUUAGUCUCCAUUGAUGUGAAUGGUGGACAUGUAAUGUUAGGUCAGCGGACUUCACAAGAAAAAGCUAUUUUGGAUGUUAAUCUUGCUGCUGCAAAACAGAUUGCAAGGGAGUUGCGGCUGAGAGAUGUUGGUGGUAUAAUUGUUGUGGACUUUAUCGAUAUGGCAGAUGACUCAAAUAAGAGAUUAGUAUACGAGGAAAUGAAGAAAGCUGUUGAGAAAGACCGAUCAACAGUGAAGGUUUCUGAAUUGUCAAAGCAUGGACUGAUGGAAAUAACUAGAAAAAGGGUUAGACCUAGUGUCGCUUUUAAGAUUAGUGAACCUUGCACUUGCUGUCACGCUACUGGGAGAGUUGAAGCUUUAGAGACCUCCUUUUCAAAGAUUGAACAAGAAAUUUGCCGAUUGCUUGCAUUGAUGGACCAGAAGGCAGACCCUGAAAACCCCAAGACCUGGCCAAGAUUUGUUUUGAGGGUUGAUCAUCACAUGUGCAACUACUUAACUACUGGGAAAAGGACAAGACUUGCAAUCUUGAGUAGUUCUCUCAAAGUCUGGAUUUUUUUAAAGGUUGCUAGAGGUUUCGCUAGGGGGGCAUUUGAGGUGAAACCAUUUACAGAUGACCAGGCAAAUGAAAAUCAACAUCAAGUUGCAAUAUCAGUGCUAAGACAAGCAGAGACUAGAACUAUCAAUUCUGGCAAAAAAGUAACUCUUGUUCCUGUUAAAGAAAGCAAGUCUCGUGGGAAAUGAAAUUGACUUCUCACAUUACAUUUUUGUAUAAGCCUGCAUUUUUGUUUUCAUUUUUAUCUUUUUCGUUCAUCAUUAUUAUUUUUGUAUCUACACCAUUUAUCUAUGCUGGGAGAGGACAGUCUUUUUCUGGUUUCACAUGAUGUCCUGUUUGCUUGAUGGUGGGAUGUGGCAUGUUUUAGGAGGUGUUUCCCACUGUAACUUGAAACUAGUUGGUUUCCAUUGUAGUACUGCAGCAUUAACUAAUCUUGCUGCUAGCAUUUUUGUCAUGCUAUGUUAAUUGUAGCAGUUUUAGAAGAACUUGCCGGCGGACACUAACUCACUGGCAAUGCAAUUUGAUAAAACAUCUAUGGGUUUCCUGUGGCACUUGCAGUUUUGCAUUAAGCCAUCCCUCUAUGGAUUAUACGUUCCAAAAAUACUCAUCGUAAUGUUACACCAAAUCUCAAUACAGCAACGGCAAUGUCGCAGAAACACGAUUACAACUACAUCAGCCACUUCAAAUCCCUGUUUUAAUUCAAUCACCACAAAGACAAGUAAUACAAUGUUCAUUCAGGUGUACAAUCCAACCACCUUCUCAACAAAGUAUUAUUCAGUAAAAACAGAUCAAGUGUAUAAAUAGUCUUACAACGCUUCUUAACUGCUUGUGAAUGGUCUAAUAAAAAUAUGAAAAUAAAAAGCUGAGAUGCAAAUUUCAUCUUUGAUAAGGUAACAAACAAUUGCUUACACAGAUUGGAAUGAAUCAAGAACCAAAGUGAUGAAACACUGAUGAAAUUUUUGAUAUUGUUCUACAGGUACAAAAUUCAUGAUACUGCUAUUAAAACUAACAAAUAAUGGUAACAGUUCUCAAAGCGGAAGACAAUGGCUAAACGUACAUGUGCAUAUAUUCCAUUGCAGCAACAGAAAAGCUUCAAAUCUCAUGUAUAAGAAUUAACUGGCAGCAGUAUUGCAGGUGUUUAUGCCAUCUUUGCAAUCGUUAGUAAGAUCAUUGAACGUCUCAAUCUGCUUUUUCCCUCUCAAGAAUACUUCUGUAUCAACAGACACCCUCAUAUAACCAUCAAAUUCAACUGGAACACCUUUGUUAAGUUUGGUUGUCUCUGAGUACCACUCACUGUUCUCAUCCCAAAGAUCCUUGUACUCAUCAAGAAAAUGAGUUGUGUACUUGUCCUUCAAAGGGUCAAAGAAGGAAGUGUCAGGUUCAUUCGUUGCAAUGUAGAUGUUCCUCCCGUCUUCAAUCUUGUUAGCCAAGGUUGAAAGCAGUGCAUCAGGAGAAGUAUCCGCUGCAAGAUUAGGCCAGAGUUCCUUGUUCAUUGCUUUAUCCCCUCUCUCAAUGUGAACUGCAUCAUAAUCCCAAUUCAAUCUCGAGGCCAUUGCUGACACAAUAUCCAUCAACCUUCUCGAUUUCCAUAUCAAAUGCCAUGGCCGUUGAACAACAGACUCUGUUUCUCCUUCACACACUCUGUACCAGUAAUUAUCUGGUUCAACUGAUCCAAACUUCCUCAUGAUUAGGGUGUCUUUAACCUCCGCAAGCUUCAUAGGGGUGACCCUAAAAUCCUCCAAAAGAUAAAGACUCAGCUUAUCCUUUUUAUGCCAUUUACCCCAGUCCUCCCAAAACUGAGCCUGGUCCAACACUGAUGCUGCCUCCUUCAAAUGCUCAAAAUCAAAAUAAAACCUGAAAUCCUUCCCUUCCUCAUCUUGAUUUGAAGAACUAUACAUCGAAUUCAAACAAAUAGUCAAAUCCAUAAUCAAAGUUCGAUUUAGAUACUGUGCUUCACCUAAUGCACACAAGAAACUCCACAAGUAGUGAUUCAUACUCUUGCAUCUAUCACCACCACCAUUGUAAAUCAAAUACUUGCCACGGCUAAAUGACUUCUCUGACUCAACCACAGGAAGUGAAUCAUUCACAGUUUCCCCAACAACAGGCAACAGCACUGGCUUUUGUUUUCCUGCAGGUGCCUUUUCAAACCCAGGUUUCUGAUUCUUCUUCCUCUUCCUUGCAUUUACGCCUGUAUGGUAAUCGCCAAUCCCCACAACACUAAGUGUACAAUUCUCUGAUCUACCUAUCACAAAUCGCCUGUAAUCCUUGUAAAAUGCAGCAGUCUUCCCUUCCUUAGGCCUAAAUCUCCAAGCCAUGUCACAACUACUAUCAUUAUUGGCAGGAACUGGUUUUCCAAACCUAUAAAAAUGUAUGUCCUUAAAAUGCUCUAUUGCCUUUCUCAUCAUCAAAUGAAACACUUCUGGGUCCCUACAAUCUAAAGGACCAACACAAUUCUCUGCUCUUAAUUCAGGGGUACUAGCACCACCAUCCUUUGGGAUUUCUACAUCUGUAAUGUUGAUAAAAGUGGCGAAUGCAGUCUGAUUUGAGGCCAUGAAAUCUUCCCCGGUUUUCACUACAGUAUCAUCGGAUUUAAACGAGGCAUUUGAGGUUGAUGUGAGGAAUGUGUUGAUCUUUGUUGAUGGAUGAAAAAGCGGGUCCUCAGGCUCAUAUGUAGCAGCGAUUAUGGUGAAAAUGAGGACUCCUAGAACAAAUAUUGUGAAGCAGAGAUUCCCAAUCAUAGCCAAUGCAUUUUGGCCAAGAUUUUCUGGCCUAAAACUUCCUGUUCUUGCUAAAGUGGCCCGACCAAACAUCUUUCCCUCCCUCUUCAGCCAAGAUUCUAAAAUUAAACUAAAAUCCACCCACGA
rnacentral:misc_RNA from 1 species